GAAAUCCCAUGCCCUUUUUGCAUUUAUACAUGUGAAAGACAUGCGUUUACAUACAGAAACCACAUAAUUAUUAGGAACCAACAACGGUGCUCUUGAUUCUCACUGAAAAAUUACUUUAAGUCACAUGGGAAAUUUUUCUAAGAGCUUAAAAUCAGAGCCCUGCCCAGUCAACAACACUGUGAAUGUGUCCUGGCUAGGCUACAAAGGUAUUCAGAAAAUCUUGAAUUAGGACAGCAAAAAUGAAACAUAAGCAGUGUCAAAUCAAUACUGUGGAAGAUGGUGUGAGAAAAAGAACACAUGUAUAUGUAUGUAUGACUGGGUUACUAUGCUGUACCACAGAAAUUGACACAACACUAUAAAUCAACUAUACUCUAAUAAGGAAUUUUUAAUAAAAAAAAUUAAAAGCACUGAGAGUACCAAAAAACCCUACUGUGGGCAUUUUUAAAGUUAUUUGGCUUAAGUCGUCAUAUAAUCAGAAAUAAAGUAUCACUGCUGCUUUCAAAGGGACAGAGAGCAGAGUAAAGAUUUGCUCAGAGACAUAUAAGCACUUAAAAGUAAACAGGCACGGAUUGUGAGAUUACAUAUUCUAAGUAGGAAUCAGCUGCAGGCACUUCUGAAUCAUUUGUGUUUCUGAUCUUUUAGGAAUCAGCCUGUAGGCAAAGCAUAUGUUGAGGCUGCUGGUAGUGCCUAGAUGAGGGUGCAUGUACACGUGGGAGGGGUCUGAGCACCUCUCUGGAUGCCAACAACACCCCCCUCCCCGCCCCCAAGAGAAAGGAUGGUUAUCUUGGAGAAGAUAUUUGAUGUUGGUGUUGAAGAAAGUUCAGCAAUGGCUUGGCUAUGAAAUGAGAUGAAGAGUUCUGGAAGCCUGUGUAGAAAGGCUCAUAGAAGAAAGCAGGUGAGACUUUACUAAAAUACAUAAGGAGUAAUAUUUUUUUUUUCAAAAAGGGUAGUUCUGUAUAAUGUAAUUUUAGGGGGAGUCUGGGUGAAGGUUAUGUGGAACCUCUCUGUACUAUGUAGAUACUUGUGAGUCAAUAAUUAUUUCAAAAUAAAAAGUUAAAGCAAAUUUUAAAAGAUAAAACAAAAUGAGAAGGUUGAGAUGGAGAAAUAAACUGUCUUAAGACAAAUUUCAUUUGAAUAUGUGAAAGGAAACGAAUGAAUCUGUCAACAUUCUUUUUGUUGUUGUUGUUGUUGUUGUUGUUAUUGUUGUUGUUGUUGUUGUUGUUGCUAUUUCUUGGGCCGCUCCCACGGCAUAUGGAGGUUCCCAGGCUAGGGGUUGAAUCGGAGCUGUAGCCACCGGCCUACGCCAGAGCCACAGCAACGCAGGAUCCGAGCCGCAUCUGCAACCUACACCACAGCUCACGGCAACGCCGGAUCAUUAACCCACUGAGCAAGGGCAGGGACCGAACCCUCAACCUCAUGGUUCCUAGUCGGAUUCGUUAACCACUGCGCCACGACGGGAACUCCUGUCAACAUUCUUUAUUCAAUAUUCAGCAAAUAUUUUUUGUGCACUUUUCCCUGUAGCAAACAUUUUUCUUAAUGUUGAGGAUACUGUGGUGAGUAAGGUAAAGUUCCUUUUCUCAGAGCUUACUUUCCAUUACAGAAAUAUAGUAAGCAAAUAAUAGUCAAAUAUAUAGAUAAUAUUUCAGAUAAUAGUAAUGCUCAGAAGAACAAUAAAGCAGGGUAAAAAGACAGAGUGAGAUUGGCAAGUGCUAUGCUAAAAGCAUUCACGGAAGGCUGAUAAGGUGAUAUUUGGGCAGAAUAAGGGGAGGGAACUGAGCCAUGUAGAUAUCUGAGAAAACAUUGCAGAUAGAUGCUAUGGCAAGUGCAUAGGCUUUAAAAUGGGAGCAUCCCUGGCAUGUACAAAAAGCAGCAUGGAAACAGAGAAAAGGGUGUUGGAGGAUGAGCUCAGGGAUGUAGGGUGAGUACAGGAAGCAUACUAGGCCUUGAAGGCCAUGGUUAGGACUUUUGAUUUAUUCUAAGUGAGGUGGGAAGGUUUUGAUCAGAGCAGUGACAUAAUCUGAUUUAUAUAUAUUUUAGGGUUUUUUUAAUUGAAAUUUUAUUUUUUAGAACAGUUUUAAGUUCACAGAAAAAUUGAGGGGAGGGUGCAGAGAUUUCCCAUAUGCCUCCAGCCCCCAUUCAUGCAUAGCCUCAACCAUUAUCAACAUCCCUCAUCAGAGUGGUCCAUUUUUUACAACUGAUGAACCUAUAUUGACACAUUGUAAUUACCCAAAUCACUAUUGAACUAAUCCAGGUGAGCGAUAUUGAGGCUUGGAAUGGGACUUUAGUGGGAGAAGGAAUAAAAUAAUCAGAUUCAGGAUAUAUUUUGAAAGGAGAGCUUCAGUUGAGCUGCCAUUUACUGACAUGGAGAGGAUAGUGGGGGAAGGUAGGUCUGUUGGCUUUGGACAUGUAGGUAAGUUUGAGUUGCCUCAUAAAAAGUGAAAUAGUGGUGUCAGAAAGAAAAGGAGUCUGCAGUUUAGGGCUAGGUUGAGGUUUGGGCAUAAAACUUGAAAGCCAUCGGCAUGGAAAUGGUAUUCAAAGUCAAGAGGCUGGAUGAGAUCACCAAGAAAAUUAAUUUAAAUGAAGAAGGCAGGUUGACUCAAGAACUGAGCCUUGAGUAGUCCUGACGUUUUAAGAUGAGGAUAAAAAAGAAACUAAGAAGAAGCAGACUAUGAGGUAGAUCUGAGAAAGGUGUCCAGAAGUCCAAGGGAAAAAAAAAAUGUUUUAAGAAGGAGAACGUUGGGAGUUCCCAUCGUGGCGCAGUGGUUAACAAAUCCAACUAGGAACCAUGAUG
ensembl:lncRNA